UACGAGGGGGGCAAGCGUUGUUCGGAAUUAUUGGGCGUAAAGGGCGCGUAGGCGGUGCGGUAAGUCUGAUGUGAAAUCUCCGGGCUCAACUCGGAGUCUGCAUCAGAAACUGCCGUGCUCGAGUGUGGGAGAGGUGAGUGGAAUUCCCGGUGUAGCGGUGAAAUGCGCAGAUAUCAGGAGGAACACCAAUGGCGAAGGCAGCUCGCUGGGACGGUACUGACGCUGAGACGCGAAAGCGUGGGGAGCAGACAGG
rnacentral:rRNA from 1 species